UACGUAGGGUGCGAGCGUUGCCCGGAUUUAUUGGGCGUAAAGGGCGCGUAGGCGGCCACGCACGUCCGUUGUGAAAUCGCCCCGGCUCAACUGGGGCGGGGUCAGCGGAUACGGUGUGGCUCGAGCAGCUAGGGGGCAAUGGAAUUCCCGGUGUAGUGGUGGAAUGCGUAGAUAGUCGGGAGGAACACCAGUGGCGAAGGCGGUUGCCUGGAGCUUUGCUGACGCUGAGGCGCGAAAGCGUGGGGGAGCCGAUCCGG
rnacentral:rRNA from 1 species